CCUACGGGAGGCAGCAGUGAGGAAUAUUGGUCAAUGGACGAGAGUCUGAACCAGCCAAGUAGCGUGAAGGAUGACUGCCCUAUGGGUUGUAAACUUCUUUUAUAUGGGAAUAAAACGUUCCACGUGUGGGAUUUUGUAUGUACCAUAUGAAUAAGGAUAGGCUAACUCCGUGCCAGCAGCCGCGGUAAUACGGAGGAUCCGAGCGUUAUCCGGAUUUAUUGGGUUUAAAGGGAGCGUAGGUGGAUUGUUAAGUCAGUUGUGAAAGUUUGUGGCUCAACCGUAAAAUUGCAGUUGAAACUGGCAGUCUUGAGUACAGUAGAGGUGGGCGGAAUUCGUGGUGUAGCGGUGAAAUGCUUAGAUAUCACGAAGAACUCCGAUUGCGAAGGCAGUUCACUGGACUGCAACUGACACUGAGGCUCGAAAGUGUGGGUAUCAAACAGGAUUAGAUACCCCUGUAGUC
rnacentral:rRNA from 1 species